GGCUCGGUGGUGUAGUUGGUUAUCACGUCAGUCUAACAUACAGUUAGAGCCACUGAAGGUCCCGAGUUCAAACCUCGGCUGAGUCA
rnacentral:tRNA from 2 species